rnacentral:rRNA from 1 species
UGGGGAAUAUUGCACAAUGGGGGGAACCCUGAUGCAGCGACGCCGCGUGAAGGAAGAAGUGUUUCGGCAUGUAAACUUCUAUCAGCAGGGAAGAAAGCGACGGUACCUGACUAAGAAGCCCCGGCUAACUACGUGCCAGCAGCCGCGGUAAUACGUAGGGGGCAAGCGUUAUCCGGAUUUACUGGGUGUAAAGGGAGCGUAGGCGGCCGUGCAAGUCAGAAGUGAAAGCCCGUGGCUCAACUGUGGGACUGCUUUUGAAACUGUGCGGCUAGAUUGCAGGAGGGGCAAGUGGAAUUCCUAGUGUAGCGGUGAAAUGCGUAGAUAUUAGGAGGAACACCAGUGGCGAAGGCGGCUUGCUGGACUGUAAAUGACGCUGAGGCUCGAAAGCGUGGGGAGCAAACAGG